AUGAACGCUAGCUACAGGCUUAACACAUGCAAGUCGAGGGGCAGCAUGGUCUUAGCUUGCUAAGGCCGAUGGCGACCGGCGCACGGGUGAGUAACACGUAUCCAACCUGCCGUCUACUCUUGGACAGCCUUCUGAAAGGAAGAUUAAUACAAGAUGGCAUCAUGAGUCCGCAUGUUCACAUGAUUAAAGGUAUUCCGGUAGACGAUGGGGAUGCGUUCCAUUAGAUAGUAGGCGGGGUAACGGCCCACCUAGUCUUCGAUGGAUAGGGGUUCUGAGAGGAAGGUUCCCCACAUUGGAACUGAGACACGGUCCAAACUCCUACGGGAGGCAGCAGUGAGGAAUAUUGGUCAAUGGGCGAGAGUCUGAACCAGCCAAGUAGCGUGAAGGAUGACUGCCCUAUGGGUUGUAAACUUCUUUUAUAAAGGAAUAAAGUCGGGUAUGCAUACCCGUUUGCAUGUACUUUAUGAAUAAGGAUCGGCUAACUCCGUGCCAGCAGCCGCGGUAAUACGGAGGAUCCGAGCGUUAUCCGGAUUUAUUGGGUUUAAAGGGAGCGUAGAUGGAUGUUUAAGUCAGUUGUGAAAGUUUGCGGCUCAACCGUAAAAUUGCAGUUGAUACUGGAUAUCUUGAGUGCAGUUGAGGCAGGCGGAAUUCGUGGUGUAGCGGUGAAAUGCUUAGAUAUCACGAAGAACUCCGAUUGCGAAGGCAGCCUGCUAAGCUGCAACUGACAUUGAGGCUCGAAAGUGUGGGUAUCAAACAGGAUUAGAUACCCUGGUAGUCCACACGGUAAACGAUGAAUACUCGCUGUUUGCGAUAUACAGCAAGCGGCCAAGCGAAAGCGUUAAGUAUUCCACCUGGGGAGUACGCCGGCAACGGUGAAACUCAAAGGAAUUGACGGGGGCCCGCACAAGCGGAGGAACAUGUGGUUUAAUUCGAUGAUACGCGAGGAACCUUACCCGGGCUUAAAUUGCAGAUGAAUUACGGUGAAAGCCGUAAGCCGCAAGGCAUCUGUGAAGGUGCUGCAUGGUUGUCGUCAGCUCGUGCCGUGAGGUGUCGGCUUAAGUGCCAUAACGAGCGCAACCCUUGUUGUCAGUUACUAACAGGUUCUGCUGAGGACUCUGACAAGACUGCCAUCGUAAGAUGUGAGGAAGGUGGGGAUGACGUCAAAUCAGCACGGCCCUUACGUCCGGGGCUACACACGUGUUACAAUGGGGGGUACAGAGGGCCGCUACCACGCGAGUGGAUGCCAAUCCCAAAAACCUCUCUCAGUUCGGACUGGAGUCUGCAACCCGACUCCACGAAGCUGGAUUCGCUAGUAAUCGCGCAUCAGCCACGGCGCGGUGAAUACGUUCCCGGGCCUUGUACACACCGCCCGUCAAGCCAUGGGAGCCGGGGGUACCUGAAGUGCGUAACCGCGAGGAGCGCCCUAGGGUAAAACUGGUGACUGGGGCU
rnacentral:rRNA from 1 species